AGGGCACCACCAGGAGUGGAGCCUGCGGCUUAAUUUGACUCAACACGGGGAAACUCACCCGGCCCGGACACCGUGAGGAUUGACAGAUUGAUAGCUUUUUCAUGAUUCGGUGGAUGGUGGUGCAUGGCCGUUCUUAGUUCGUGGAGCGAUUUGUCUGGUUUAUUCCGAUAACGAGCGAGACUCUGGCCUACUAAAUAGUUGGCGCAUUGCUACUGUGCGAACAACACUUCUUAGAGGGAUUUUCGGUGUUCAGCCGCACGAAAUUGAGCAAUAACAGGUCUGUAAUGCCCUUAGGUGCCCGGGGCUGCACGCGCGCUACACUGGCAAAAUCAGCGUGCUUGUCCUUCCCCGAAAGGGGUUGGUAAACCCGUGAAAAUUUGCCGUGAUUGGGAUCGGACAUUGCAAUUAUUGUCCGUGAACGAGGAAUUCCUUGUAGGGGCGAGUCAUCAACUCGCUCUGAAUACGUCCCUGCCCUUUGUACACACCGCCCGUCGCUGCCCGGGACUGAGCCAUUUCGAG
rnacentral:rRNA from 1 species